rnacentral:rRNA from 1 species
GAUGAACGCUGGCGGCGUGCCUAAUACAUGCAAGUCGAGCGAACAGACGAGGAGCUUGCUCCUCUGACGUUAGCGGCGGACGGGUGAGUAACACGUGGAUAACCUACCUAUAAGACUGGGAUAACUUCGGGAAACCGGAGCUAAUACCGGAUAAUAUAUUGAACCGCAUGGUUCAAUAGUGAAAGACGGUUUUGCUGUCACUUAUAGAUGGAUCCGCGCCGCAUUGGCUAGUUGGUAAGGUAACGGCUUACCAAGGCAACGAUGCGUAGCCGACCUGAGAGGGUGAUCGGCCACACUGGAACUGAGACACGGUCCAGACUCCUACGGGAGGCAGCAGUAGGGAAUCUUCCGCAAUGGGCGAAAGCCUGACGGAGCAACGCCGCGUGAGUGAUGAGGGUCUUCGGAUCGUAAAACUCUGUUAUUAGGGAAGAACAAAUGUGUAAGUAACUAUGCACGUCUUGACGGUACCUAAUCAGAAAGCCACGGCUAACUACGUG